CUGGAAUCUAGGUUAAGGCCCAUGUGGCUUUACCUAGAGAAAUAUAUAGACUUAAUUUGUCUUGCUGUUUACAAACUUCAAAGGUAUUAUACUUUUUCUAUCCUUGUUCUAUUUUGGGUUGGCUGUAAGAAACGCAUGCUAUUGGCGAGGUUAGAUAACACUGAGAUUAGAAAGUCUGUAGAGGAUGUUACUUUGCUACUAGGAGGUCAACCGUACCUAAUAUCAGAGUGUCUUGUCUCCAUCAGCCUGCUGAUUUGUACUGUGUCUGUGCAUAGACAUUUCUCCGUCCUACCUGGCCAGUUCACAUCCCUGUAGACUAUGGUUUCACAUGAUGGAAAGAGAAGUGUUGAAAUUCCUUAUGAUGACACAAAGAAGUGAUUAAUUUUGUGUGAGCGAGGCAAUUUUUCACAAAGAGUACUUUGUGAGGAAUUUUAAAGGCCUGCGAUAAUUUUUGAAAGGGUAUAUGUCCCAGGAGAAAGACUUCCAAAAAAAGUGUACAACCAAAAGUAAACAUCUUUUCCAACUGGGAGGAUGUCAGAUGUCUUUAGUCACACUUUCUCACUUAACGGAUAAGAGAAAUGUGUCUCAAAACCCCAUGAUGAUUUUGCUUUGUUUUGGUUUGGCUGUUCCCUCUUUCUAGAAGUAGCACCCUUAGGGAAUGCCAAGGUCUCACGGUAAGUUUUAUUGACACAAAAUUGACUGAAAGACGUUGCGGUAUCUCCAUAGCCUCGUGGCCCUGGUCCCCAUAGGAUAGGACAUUUAAGACAUUUCCUCGACACCCACAUCACAGGCUUCAUUUUGCUCUUGUGUUGGUGUUACGGACCCCUGGACAGUGGCUUGCCUGAAAUGGCAUAUUGUUCCUGAACCACAGUUUGAAUGUAUGGUUUUUCUGGGUAGUGGGUUCCUCUUUAGUAACAGCCAGUUUAUCUCUAUCACUUUCAAUGGAUCACUCAGAAAUGUGACCAAAGGCCAGACUUAACCACACUCCUCUCCUUUUGGCUGGAUUCCCACUGCCACUAAUGUUAGAACAUGAGUCCUACUCAUGUAUUAGGAAGCAGCUCAUAGGGGCUGAAAGUAUAGCUAAGACUAUCUGCCUAGCAUUUGUAGUGCCCUGCUCCCAGAGCCACAAAGAUAGGGCAAGCAAGUUUUGUUGUUGUUUUUUUGUUUGUUUGUUGUUGUUUUUUAAGUAAGAAAAUGAAC
rnacentral:lncRNA from 1 species